AUCCCUCCACCUACUCCCUCCUUCAAACUCUCAAUCCCUUGUCUUCUCUUACUAAACAUGCGUAAGUAUCAUAAUAUCAUUGAUGUGAUACAUUAAAGUACUAUGAUGAUACUGCACUAGGAUAUCUACGAGGUGUGUCAAGAGAAAAAUCAACACAAAAAGUUUCAAUGGUAGAAAAAAUAUAAUCAAAACAAUACCCCAUAAUCAGAAACACUGCUUUAUAGUCUCAUUGCCCUUUGAAAACAAACAAUAGAUCAUAAAAAAAUAGUACCCAAGAUCCUUCAAUAUAGAUAACUAACUCAAAUCAUUGAGCAAAACUAGCAUGAGAAAUCGCCUAUCCAAAUGCUUGAGAACAAAAAAAAAAAAAAGAAUCUAUGCUUCGAUUCACCACCUACAAUCGAAAAAGCUUGUCGUGAUCCCAUUUCAAGUUAGCAACCAUAACUACCACGAAUCGAAUAAGCCAUACAAAUUGCCCUGCCUCCACCUCGAGUAGAGGCGACCUUCCACGACAGCAUAAAGCUAGUCAUCAUUUGAUUAAAAUACGUGGUGCCUUGGUGAUGAUAAGAUAUAUAGGUGGAUCGUAAAUAUGAAUUGAUCGUAAAUACCACACAGACACACGUUGAGAACUGGUGCGGAAUUACGUGGAAAGCGAAUGAUUUGAGGCCAAUCCAAAAUUCCAAAUCCGUCCUUGCAAACAUAAACGAGAAAUAAAAUGGCAAAAUGAUUUCUGCUACUUCCUGCGAACUUCCUUUCCCCAUUCUUUGCUCGGAGAUUCCUCGUCAAACCCUAAACCCCCAAAUCCACCCGCGCGGAUCGUGAGGUAGGAGCUCGGGGAGCGCCGCGGGUGGCGGCAGGAGAACGGAGACGGACGGAGGAUACCCUCCGGGGUGGCGCGAAGCCCGGUAGUUCCCUCUGCCGGCGUCGUCGUCGGCCGAUGGCUACCGCCGCUAUGUGCGACGGCGAGGGGCAGCAGGGCCGACUGCGACGAGCUUCUGUUCCACGCAAUUCCACAAUGGAUUCGAUGGACUGACCAGGAGUAAAACACGAACUGUUUAAGAUAGAGAAACCCUCUGUUGCGGAUGAUGAGCUUUUCAUUGGGGGCUACUCCUUUUGUCCAUAUCCUGAGAGCUAGAAGAGAAGGUAAUUUGCCAAGGAUCUGAAAAGCUUCCUCCCCAACAUGACUAAUAUUGAUAUUCAGGAAGGUGACGCUAGAGAGCAUAGCCAUCCACUCUGGAAUUCUAGGAAAAUAAUAGUUUGAGCUCAUCCCAAAAUAUCGGAGGGGAUUAGGAGCAGUGAACCAAGAAUUCAACAAGAAAUCGAGAGACGAACCAUUUUCAGUACAGCAUUGAACAUGCAGGUACUGAAGCUUGAGUUUGCACAGUGUACUGAUGGAUGGAACAAAGUUAUCUAUUUCAUGCAAGGUAUUUGAUGAGAUGCUGUUGUCAACUUUCAUAUGAUAAAGUUUCUGUAAAGCCUUCAUGUUCCCUACUCCUGCUGGCAGACUUACUUCAUCGGCAAGUAAAAACAGCAACCUUUUCAACUUCACAAUACUCUUGGGUAAUUCCUUUAUCAUUGUCUGUGUCAGAUCUAUUGUCUCAAGUUGCUGUAGUUCCCCUAUUUGCUCUGGGAGUUUGCUGAUGCUUACUCUGUUCAACCUUAGGUAUUUAAGACAAAACAAUUUCUGUAUGCCAUUUAGGUGAUGGUUUUCUAAUUGAUCAUUGCAUUCAAUGCUAAUUGUACGAAGAGCUUGAAAGUCUGAAAUAGGCAGCACAUUUUCAGUGGAUCCAUAAGUAGUGAGUGAUCGAACAUUCAAAACAUUCAUAUCUGACAUCACCAUAAUUUCUUCUUGACCAUGGUAAUGAACCAGUCGACGAAUCUUGUCUUGUGGUCCAAAGGCAUGAUUCUGGUAACCAAAUACUGUGAUGAAAUUUUCUUCAGCUGACUUGGAAAUAAUAAGAUCAAAAAUCACAUCAUGUACUCGACAAGCAUCAACUCUGCCAUCAUAUUGGAUGCUCACUGGUUUUUGGGAGAUGGACACAAAUGCUUGGCAAUCAAACUGCCCUCCAAUUUUGUUAUAUACUUGACGAGCAAGAGUAGUCUUGCCCAACCCUCCAAGACCCACAACAGACACCACACUUAAUCUUGACUCCAACUUUUCCCCUCCUUUAGUUAGCCAGUUGAUGAGCUCUUCUGCUGGUUCAUCAAUACCUACUAGGGCAUCUGCCUCUGCAAAAAGUGCUGGCAACCGAGGGUCAAGGGGUACCACAUCAAUAGAACUUGAGAUGGUACCAUUGAAGUUAUACCUCUUUUGCCGCUCACUUGCAUCGUCAACACGCGCCUUCAACUUUAGGAUUUGAUCAGCAAUCUCAUUACGAGCUCCAAGUGUCCUCAGCUUGUGAAUGCUCUUCUGGAAGAAACCCUUGUGAACUCUGCUUGAGCCACCAUCCAUCUGAUGAAUAAAGUCGUCGAUGCAGUCCUCGAUAUCGUAGGACAGCUCUCUGAUUUGGUUCCUCCAUUCCUUGACCUGGAUAUCUAGAUCAUCCAUGUCAGCCAGCUUGAGGAGAAAAGCAUUCAUGCUUUGCAGCUCGAGCUUCAUGGUGAGGAUCUCCUCAUUCACACCCUUGAAGCUGUUGUUGCACUGCCUCUCUACCAGGGCAGGGAGCUUUCCGAGAACCGAGCUGAGUACCCCAGUAGCAACACUCACCAUGGUGUGCUCCAUUUGUGAUUUGAGGUGUAUGUUUGGUGGCAACUCUAAAUCUAGCUUGCUUCACAGAUGCCGGGCUCAAGGAGGAGGAAGAGCUUCAUUAUGAUAAAAGGUGAAGUGGUAGGAAGCUGUUGGUGUUACUAAACUAGUGGAGAUUGGUGACAACCAAUAUCAUGGUUCUCAGAAUUUCAAAUUCAAUCAUAAGUGUGGUUGUGAUGUUAGCAAAAUAAAAAAAAGAUUAUGAAAGAAGACAGUCGCAUGGGAAGAACAACACUCUUCGGCAAUAAGACAAAGUUAUAAGAUGGGGAUUUGCUUAGGUUAUCAAUAUAUAGUGGAAAAAUGUUGGAAAGCUUCAGCCAUUUCCUAAUGCAAGUUAGGUGUAGUGAUUUUUUAAUCUGCCAUGUCAAUCUUUGGCUCUUUGCUUCUGGUGGUCAGUCAAUUAGGCAUUUACAAUAAUUAAAAAUCUAAACUAUAAGGCUUUCUAAAUGGUUGGUAGAUCUUCAUUUUAGUCCAAAUAAAGCCUUGUGUUUCUUUUUUAUUUUUUAACAUGGUAAGCAGGUAUCGAAACUCUAAACUCGAUUUCUUUUUUCUUUUGGAUAUUAUCUCAGAACUCAGAUGUAUUCAAUAUGUAAGUGAACAGUUUGCAUUAAUUCUUCAGCGAUGGCAUUACCUUGCUGCACUUGUUUGUUGCCACUGAUGUUAAUAAACCCAUUUCAAUAACAUAACUCAGGUUUUGACACCUAUACUAGUUAGUAAUUUUGCACCAUGGAUAUCUUGCUUCAAACUUGAAUACAAGUUUCCAAAGGAGGUAUGUUUAAAAAUUAUGUUUGACUCAAAUUUAUGCAGCCCUUAAUAUGUUUUCAGUGUUGCAUGCAUGUACAUUCUGCUAUACAGUUUUCAUCUAAUUCUGCUAAUCUGAAUCCAAUAUUAUUGGUAGUAUUCUGUCAAAAAUAUUAUUGGUAGUACAAGAGUGCAAUCAGUAUCUGUUGAGAGGGCUCAGAUUUCAGGUAUCACAGGAAGCAUCUAUGCAACUGCAGGACUGAAGAAGGUUGGUCAGUAAUCAGUCUUCAUCCCAUUUUUCUUAUAUACAAUCUAGUCAUCAAUGUCCACUCGAUGACAAUGACUACAUCCAGUUCUGAUUAGAAUAGUGUGUACUUUGUAAUAUAAUCGUAAUCUUCAUAUACGCCAUGAACUUGCAUACUUUUCUCAAGACAAAUCAGCAUGCAUCUUGAUAACUUAUUCUUAAACAUUAAGCAGACGAUGGCAUAGUCCCACCAACUCAUAUUUGAGAGUUUCCAAGAAGUAACCUGCAUCAAAAGACAAUUCAAGGAUCAAAGAUAUAGGAGCAUCUGUUUGCAUAACAAAGGUGGUUCUUGUAUAAAUUUUGCCUGGUCAGUCUUGUUCUGAUCAAACAACCUUCAUAUAUAGAUUCAGGAUGUUCAGGAUGUUCGUUCACCUGCUUUUGAUAUUCUCCCAAAGUCUGUCGUUUUAACUGAGAACAGGGUAUCACAUUUUUUCAUAUGUGGUUUACCCUGUAACAUACCUGUCAAAAUAAGAAACAUGUCUUAGGAUAAAAAACUAUAAUUUAUUUUGUGUAGUAGAAGUAGAUUUAUCCACACAAUACUAAGUUUAUUAUCAAUAAACUUGAUCUUACACAUACAAGGAUGAUUUAAUUUGUAGCACACAUUCUUGCAUAGUGUAAAAGUAGAUCCUCGUUA